UGGCUGCUGUGUUCAGUGUUAAAUGACUUUUUUUUAACCGUAUUAAUGUUUUACAGCACAUUACAGAGCACAAAAAUAAAAUAAAUGUUAUUUUUAUAUGUGGUUUAGGAAAGAAAACUCAAAUUAACUUUUUUCUGAAUUCAUUUUUCAAACCGAAAUUUUAACUUAAAGCGGUUCAGGUCAGGACGAACCUUCACGAAAAUUAGAGUUACUAUGACUGACAAAGUUGUUUUUAUAUUUCUUAAAAGGAUAUUCAUGCACAUAUUCAUAUCAGCGUGCACGACAGUGCAAUGAAGGAAUGUAUAUUUUAGACAUUUCAUUUUCAUUUACAUGAAGUCAGGACCUCAAUCUCCAAAUCGUUCACGUCAGAAAAACACCCAGCUUGAAAAAAACCUCAGACUUUUCCUUUCGAGGCUUCAGAUGAACUUCAGUCCAAGAAUAUGAUGGUGUGUAACUGGGCCUGGACGUUGGGCUCAACUGAGAAUAAAGUUUGAGGUUCCCAGUGCAGAGAACAGAUUUUCUUCAGACCUGCCUGCGUGUUUUUUCUGUUGGCACCAGGUGAAGCUUUAGUUCCGUGAGUCCCAACUGUUUCAAAUAAAACUUUGACAGACGUCACAACGGCCUGCGGCGGUGACGUCGCGUGGUCUAUGAUCAAUACCAACUGGUCUGAUCUGAAAAGAGAAAGCGCUUCAUCAAUAACUCCUCGGGACCUUUCAGUGGGUCGUCGCCGGCCGGUCGGUCGGCGUGGAUCUGGAGGAUCCGCUUCACAAACACAGAUGAAAGAGAAAAACCCUGAGCAAGGUGAGCUCACAAGGGCACACGCUGAAGUCAUCAGUGUUGACGCGGGUGGCGAGAGGGGCCACGGUGUGAGCGACACCGCGGCCACCGUGGCCAGCCAGGCGUGCCCACCCCACCCGGCAUCACCCCCCCAGCAGCUUCCCCUCCGCCCCAACAACCCAGGCGGGAGCCAGCGCUUCCUCCCGCCCGUGCUUCCCACUCCGGGCCCCGGGCCAUCACCUUGUGAAGCACAAUCAGCGUUCAUGUCCCCCCCCCCGGCCCCCGGAGGCCUCAUCAGCAGGUCAGGUGGCUCUCGUGUGCACAGGCAUGAAGCAACACACGCAGAGGAGGCAGGUUUUAAAUCCUGGUCGCCUGAAACAUCUCAAAUUUCAUCCUCUGAAUCGAAGGAUCCAAACCUCUGCUGCCGCCGCUGCUGCCUGUAUACAGUAAUGCGUGUAAAGUCAGUCUGGCCGAGGUUAUGAAUAGUGAAUUAUAAUAUCGCUCAUAGCUGUAGACACGACAAGUGGAGCUGCUCGUGCAACUGGACACGGACGUGAAACUUUCGACGGUUGUAAAAUAAUGCAGUAAAAACGACCUUCGUCUGUGGGCUGACAGAUCCGGACGACGUGACAGACGAGGAUGUCGGCGGAUGUUUUAGUUUUUUUAACACGUCUUCAUUAGCGCUCGAAUAUAAAAAAGAGGUGGUGAUUAAAGAAUGUAAUAACUGAGAUCUGAAAA